AGCGAACGCUGGCGGCGUGCUUAACACAUGCAAGUCGAACGGAAAGGCCCUGCUUUUGUGGGGUGCUCGAGUGGCGAACGGGUGAGUAACACGUGAGUAACCUGCCCUUGACUUUGGAGUAACUUCAGGAAACUGGGGCUAAUACCGGAUAGGAGCUCCUGCUGCAUGGUGGGGGUUGGAAAGUUUCGGCGGUUGGGGAUGGACUCGCGGCUUAUCAGCUUGUUGGGGGGGUAGUGGCUUACCAAGGCUUUGACGGGUAGCCGGCCUGAGAGGGUGACCGGCCACAUUGGGACUGAGAUACGGCCCAGACUCCUACGGGAGGCAGCAGUGGGGAAUAUUGCACAAUGGGCGGAAGCCUGAUGCAGCAACGCCGCGUGCGGGAUGACGGCCUUCGGGUUGUAAACCGCUUUCGCCUGUGACGAAGCGUGAGUGACGGUAAUGGGUAAAGAAGCACCGGCUAACUACGUGCCAGCCGCCGCCGUAAUAC
rnacentral:rRNA from 1 species